UCAUACUUCAAAAAUCCCGUUAUUAUAAUCUUAAUUUUCUUUUCAAGAAUAUUGGGUAGUUUGAUCUGGUGUCCGAAUGGAUGAAAAGUGAUAGCAAAAUUUCAUAAAACAAAAUCCAAGAAAUCAGUAUUUAUUAGAAUGCUACUUAAACUUUUUUCACUUUCUUAAAAUCAUGUUGUGAACAAAACGAUUUACAUUCCUACACUGCAAAUACGAAGAAUAAAAUGCAUAGAUUGAUUUGAACAACAGAAUGUUGACUGAAGUAGAUGUAUGUAGAUUAGCAGAACUUAUGUUAUAGCACUUUCAUUUUCUUGAU